rnacentral:rRNA from 1 species
GUGGGCCCUCGAAAUCCUGUGGCGAGAGGAUUCAGUCUCGAGGAGUCGGAGGCGCUGGCCGGAAAUAUCAGGGCUUUCCCUCACGGGAGCCGUCCGGUCGCGCGUUCGAGCUCUGACCCGCGAGACGCAUUUGUCUCUCGUCCGAAGGACGUCGCAGCCGGUUUGGUAAUGCAAGCGCGACGGCCAGAAAGGGGAGCGAUGGCAGUUGGCCGGUGGACCGCCCUCGAGGUGGACCGCCGGUUGCUAGCCGGUUCCCCGGUGGCCGUCACCAGACCGAGGUGUCGCUAGGCCCUUCGCGGGCCGUUCCGUUCCCUCCCUGAGAUGCCGGGACUGAGGGGCGCGGGGUGGGCACGCAGAGCCGUCGCACCGCUUCAGCGGUGGGCGGUUUCGCGGUUGGAUCCAUCCGUCGGCGUCCGCGUUGCCCGUCGGGAGCGUCGGAGGCUUGCGGCGAGUAGGUCGGUCACCCACCCGACCCGUCUUGAAACACGGACCAAGGAGUCUAACAUGUGCGCGAGUCAAUGGGACUCGAAUAAGCCCAGAGGCGCAAUGAAAGCGAAGGCGGUGCAUUCAGGCUCGCCGAGUUGGGAUCCCUCCUCCGGGGGGGCGCACCAACGACCCGUCCUAUCCUCUCCUGAGGUUGGGCGGAGUGUGAGCGCACACGUUGGGACCCGAAAGAUGGUGAACUAUGCCCGGACAGGACGAAGCCAGAGGAAACUCUGGUGGCAGGUCCGCAGCGGUUCUGAUCGUGCAAGAUCGAUCGUCAGACCCAGGUA